rnacentral:tRNA from 1 species
GGCGACCUGUGGCUAGGGUGGUCCCCGGCACCGGACUUCAAAUCCGGUAUACUCGCGGAGAGUAUGCGGUCCGAUUCCGCCAGGACGCCGCCA